CUUUUGUUUACAUCGUGUGGUGCACCGACGAGGCCUUCGUUUGCCGGUGCUGACAGGCAGGUCGACCUUCGACGCUGCACGGAAUGCUAAGUCGAAUGGUGCGGAACAUUUGCAUAGCGAGCGGAACCUUUUGACAAGAAAAAGAGAGAGAGAGAGAGAAAGAAAGACAUCUGCUAGGCCUGCAGCUGAAAACGGGAACGAGAACGGGCGUGUAGUUAUCGUUCUGAUGACGCUCAUCACUCCACGAUCAAACUUAUGCCAACAGGAGUGCAAGCAAGGC